rnacentral:rRNA from 1 species
AACCUGUCGCACAGUGGGGGAUAACGCUGGGAAACCGGCGCUAAUACCGCAUGAGGUUCUGUGGAUAAGCUGCAGAAAGAAAGCGAGCAAUCGCGCUGAGUGAGGGGCCUGCGUCCGAUUAGCUAGUUGGUGUGGUAAAGGCAUACCAAGGCGACGAUCGGUAGCUGGUCUGAGAGGACGGUCAGCCACACUGGGACUGAGACACGGCCCAG